UCGGGAAUCUUGGGCAAUGGGCGAAAGCCUGACCCAGCAACGCCGCGUGAGGGAUGAAGUAUUUCGGUAUGUAAACCUCGAAAGAAUGGGAAGAAUAAAUGACGGUACCAUUUAUAAGCUCCGGCUAACUACGUGCCAGCAGCCGCGGUAAUACGUAGGGAGCAAGCGUUGUUCGGAUUUACUGGGCGUAAAGGGCGCGUAGGCGGCGCGGUAAGUCACUUGUGAAAUCUCUGAGCUUAACUCAGAACGGCCAAGUGAUACUGCUGUGCUAGAGUGCGGAAGAGGCAACCGGAAUUCUUGGUGUAGCGGUGAAAUGCGUAGAUAUCAAGAGGAACACCUGAGGCGAAGGCGGGUUGCUGGGCCGACACUGACGCUGAUGCGCGAAAGCCAGGGGAGCAAACG
rnacentral:rRNA from 1 species